AUGAAGAUGUAGAACUCUCAGCUCCUCUUGCGCCAUGCCUGCCUGGAUGCUGCCAUGUUCCCACCUUGAUGAUAAUGGACUGAACCUCUGAAUCUGAAAUAAAGUGCACAGUGGUGAGGACUCCCUGUUUGAGAUCCUGAAGAAGUGCAUGUCUGUGGCUGUCAGCACAGGUUGAGAUCUGUUUUUUGUCAGUCGCCAGAUCAGUGCUUUGAGGUGCAGGGAACAAAAGUUAGUAUCCAGAGCCCAUGCCAGCCAGGUCUCCCCUCCCCCAGCCUGAAACCUGCUUGCUCAGGGGUGGAGCUUCCUGCUCAUUUGUUCUGCCACGCCCACUGCUGGAACCUGUGGAGCCACACACGUGCACCUUUCUACUGGACCAGAGAUUAUUCGGCGGGAAUCGGGUCCCCUCCCCCUUCCUUCAUAACUGAGUGUCGCAACAGUAAAAUUGGAGCUUUGAUCA
rnacentral:lncRNA from 1 species